CGAUUACAGUUAACGUCUACAUCAGUUGUUAUAGAUUGUAACCAAUAUUGUCGAUUUCACAAUAUGCUAUCUAUAACAGUUGAAAUUGAUCACUGUAAUCGAUUUUUUUAAUAUAGUUAAUACUAUUUUUAUAUUGUAAUCGAUUAAAAAAAAAAUCGAUAUUUAUAAAUCGAUCUUAACAACUGAAUGCGAAAUCUCAUUCGAUCUUUUAAGGUUAUUAUUAUUAUUUUUAAAUUAUCAGAGUUUUCAUUGGAGCGCAUUAUAAUGUUAUCUUUAACUUUUAAUACAGCGAGUAUCGAUCAUCGCUAAGCAUUGCAAAGUAUAAAAUACUCGUUGAUACUCUGCCAAUCUUUAUAAAUUGAUCUUUAUCUCAUCAUCUAAUUCCAGCUGCCACUGAUUGCACAAAGGCGUAUUAAGGAACGAAAAAAAUUAUCAGCUGUGUAUUAUUGAUGGUAGACUUAAUAGCGCAAAUUAAUUUUCUUUAAACUAAUUUUCGCUGCAUUCAUUAUUGUUAGCGUCGUCAAAAAUUAGAUUUCGGUGAUAAUCACGUAAGUAAGAUUAAAGAUUCAUCUUUGACGCUUUAAUCUAAAUUAGAGAACCAGUUGUUGCAGUAGUCUAUUGGGAGAUAAUUAAAAAUAAUCUUCUCAGGUAUUAUUUACAAUACACAACAACGCAUCUAUUCAUUUUGGUGUUUUAUUAUGUAUAAAGUCAUCUCCUGCAUUUUAUUAAAGCUUUAAUUUGGCUAAUGUUAACUGGGCGGAUAGAUCAAAUAUGAAAUUUACCCAACAGCCGAUUAAUUAGCAAUCCACUCAUUAACUGCAUGCUGUAAUUCUCAGAAACGUCAUCAGCACUUUUCAUUGUUAGCACAAUAAUUGGUUUAGCAUAAAACAGAACAAUUUCGGAUACAAACCAGAUACAAUCAGUAUAAACUCGGCUACAUUUAUUCAAUAAGAGAACUGCAUUAAGUAUAUAUAGUGGUAUUUACGAUAUUAUAUCCAAUACAACCGGAGGUGUAGUUACAGGGUAGACAGACAAGUGUAAUUACUAUCUCGAUCGAUACCAAUAAUAAGGAUAGCACUAGAUAAUAACAUUAAUUCGGUUCCUAACAGGUUGAAGUCAGCUAGACAACUCAAACUUCUCGGAAAAGUAUUGAAGCCAAGUAUAUGAAAGAGAACUAGCUGUUAUGACGAAAUAAGCUGUUACCUACUUCAAUAUGGUGUAUCUAUUGAAACGUGUAGCUAGAUAUUAAAUUCAUUGUUGGUGUAGUAAACCUCGAACUCCCUGGAGCAAAACGUAGCAAGGAGUUGGUCUUCCACACCGAUUUGUUUGGUUGUAUAAAAUACUGGAACUGAAUGGAUAUGGAAAGGAAACUGAAAUUCAUCUUAAGGGUACUAUCAUCGAUUAUUGGUCGAGAAGUGAAUUUCUCAGAUUAAAGGCGGUUGUUGCUGUCGUGUUUCUCGCUAAACUUACUAUUUUAAGCUCUUUUAUUUAUACUUUACAAACCAUUCUAAGUAUUUUUAAACCGUUCACCACCAUUUCCGAAUGUAGUUAUUAUACCGAAUCGAAAUCAUCGAUAUGCACUUUGUACGAAGCACCUUUAUAUGAGGUAUAAAUAUUCCCAUAGUAAUAAUCAAUAUAAUCGAUGUUGCACCUGCAACGCGCACAAAAGGUCACAAUCCAUAUUGUACAAGUACUGCACCUUUAGCGCACACAGACACACACAUAAAUACAGACGAAUCCAUAAAAUUCGCCAGAUAAUUAAUAUUUUAAUUCUCUUUUUUUAAAGAUAUUUUUGGAGAUUAGAUAUGUAAAUUUACUCUUCCUUUCUCAAGAUAAAAAGGACUCAAUAAAAUGAAUAUAUAUAUUUUAUGCUUAAUCCCAUUACCUGACAGUCAUAUAUCGGUAAAAAUAUACUUAGAAAUUUGUAUUUGGCCAAGUAGUUUUCCACCGCCAUACUAAAAGUAGAAAACGCUAUUAGUAUUAUUUAAAUACUCCCAAAGUGCUUUUAAAAACCCACUCUCGAAUAUUAAAGCUGUAGAAUUUAAAAAUAUGGCUUCUUAUAUUAACAACCGGUUGGAGCACUAUUCUGGAAUAAGUAAUACGUCGCUCUGCAGCUACUCUCGUUAGUUACAAACAAAAUUUUGUCUCUGGCAUGAUCUAAGUUAUGCAUUAAGUAGAUUUAAUUGAAAUCCUACACGAAUUACUAACUAUCAAAUUUUAGACAUCCAUAUUUAUGUCAUCUUCUCUCGAGUAAAGAUAGAACAGAGAGGAUAAAUCUUGGUGAUAAAUAUAUUCCUCAGUUAAUUACGCCACCGUUUGGAAUUUUAAAACGGAAUUAUAACAUAAUGUGACAUAUAUUUUAAGCGUUAUUGAUGAUGUCUUCGUAUUAAUAAGAUAAUUAUAUUGUAGAAUUUAAUCCAGUUUUGUAAUUUAUGAAACUAAUGUGUUGUAAAAUGGGAUUAUCGAAAAUCAAUUUUCGAAAAUCGUAAUUUAGUAUCCACCCACUCAUAAAAUUUGCAAAGAGCAAUUUAGAUAAUUAACAAGGAACAAAAGCGUGGUAGGUAUUUAAAAAGUUUUUCUUAAUUAAACUUAUUAAAGAUAAUGCAAAUUUUUAUAUAUUUUUACGAGUUUUUUCUUUUGUUACAUUACAUAGUGGGGUUGGGUGCAUGAUUAAUAAGAUGCUUCACUGUAUUGUCAGUAAACAGCAACAGAAGGCGCCUUUCUGUCGAAUUUUAAAUAUUUAUUAUUGCUUAAUAUGCGAAUAUCCAGAUAAUUUUCUAGCAGAAAAAACUCUUCAUUUUCGUGUAUACUUACUAAUGUCGAUUAUUUUUUUUUUACCUAAAGAUACAGUGGCAGUAAAAUUGCAAAUCUCUACGUGUAGAAAUAUAUUUAAUGUACUGUUUCGAGCAGAGAUAAGAACGGAGACAAACGAAUUUUAUUACAAACAGUUUUGAUAAAAGCAUCGCAUCGCAUUUAUAUGGUAGAGACAAAGAGAGAGAGAGACACUUCUUUAUGUGCGAUUUAAAUUUUUAUUUAUGCCCACGUUUUCUAUUAUCCCGACUAAACACGAAUGACUCUUCCGUUUGGUAGGAUAAUCAAUCAUAUUAUCUUCUUCAGUACUACUACAUACGGCAGUCAGGGAAAAAAAAGAUGCUGUAAGUCAACAGAGAGAUCUUCAUUUGUUAUCCACAUAUAAUUUCUCGCCAAAUUAAUGUUUCUAUUCUAUUUUGUGUAGAGAUAAAAACCUUUAGCGAAAAAGUGCUUACAAACGUAUUCAGUUUGGCGUGGUAAGCGGAAGAUGUAAUUCAUCUUUUAUAUCUAGACUAUCAACGAAGAAACAUGAGAAUUGGCUAUUGGAAAUUGUUGGCUGUCUCAUUGUUUCGAGCACGCUCCGAGUAAUUUGAUUCCAGAUGAAAGUAACAUUGAUUGAAGUGUGUUACGUUUCUCUGAUUGUUUCUUGGGAUGAAUAGUUCAGAGGACACGCUUUCUUCUCCGUAAGACUUUACUGAUUUGAAAAUUGUUCACAGACGAAGAUUUAAUUCGGUUUGUUCAAUGGAUUCCAUUCGUUUUAUCUAUCGAAUUAUCUUUAAAAGAGUAAAUAACUUUGUUUAUAAAAUAUUCUAUUAAGAGAAUCCAAUGAGAAAAGAAGCAAAAAUGAGCUCUACACCAAUGAAAGAAACCAGUGAAGCGAUGCUAUUGCAAUAAUCAUAAUUACUUUUCAUCAAAACGAGCAUCUUUAACUUGUUAAGGCAAACUAAGUUACUCCAGAAGAGAUACGUAUAUAUAAAUUUAAUGAAUAUUAAAAUAUCUGGCAAAAUUUUUUAUACGCUAUGAUUCUACGGCAGACCUUACAAAUAUAUUAAACAUUUGACAAAUUUUAAGCAGUGUAACCUCUCUUAGGCCGCUAAUAUUCAUCUGGCGAUUAAAUGUUAAAGGUUGGAGUCAUUUGUUGCCUCUUUAACUCAUUUUAUUAAUGGUUUGUGUCCAUUCUUGUUUUAAAUCCUAUUAUCUUUUAUUUGGUUAACGGAAUACAUUAAUGUUGAAAUUCAUUUUCGUGUAAUUGUUGUUCUUUCAUAUAAAAAUAAAUAACUCUUCUUAAUUAGAUGGAGUCGAAGAAGUUUUUCUUUUUCGAUCAAUUUAUUAAUGCAGAAAAUUUUUUUAUUUUUUUUAUUCUUCCGUUCUCGCAACUGUUUUAUGGGACGAUUCUUCCACUUUCGUAGAUUUUAUUAUUAUUUUUCUUAGUUUGGAAAACAUUUUUGGGUAAAUAAAUAAAUGUAAUUUGUAAGAGGCGUCGGACGAGAGACUGGUCAUAAUAAUGCCUGGCCUAAUUUUGCUUUGUAGAAGUGCAUUGACACGAAUGUUUCUCUCGUAAUAAAGCAGAAGAAUAAACGGUUUCCAUCUAAGUUAUUAAGUAUUGAGGAAGAAAUCGCAGAUACACACAAACAUAAUUGCAUUUGGCGUCAACUGUGUGACUAAAGUCUUCAAAGCCAAGACACUCGGCACCGUCUGCUCCACUUCUUCUAUUUAAAAUAAACAAAAACCCUUCUCCAUAAGAUUUUACAGCACUAACUAGUACUAUUAAUAUCCUGAUAUUCUGUUGCUUGUUCCUCAUAUUUUUUUUUUAUUAUUUUUACUCCCAGAGUUCUUACGAAUUUUCCCUUCUUAAAACAGAUUUCAGUAGGAUUCUCGAUGACUUUAAUUACGAUUAAUUUUUCGAAGCAAACGAAUCUAUUCAUGAAAUGCAGGAAAAUAAUCUUUCUGACAAAUGGCCUGACACGAAUUAAAUAUUCUAAUAAACUUUAUCAAUUAUUGUAAUUUAAAUUUUAACCAUUAAACUUUUAAUUCAAAUGAGUUACGGUUAAGAAUUGUUAAUUAUAGAAAAUAUAAAAUUCAAUUAAAGUUUAUGGCGAGUUCUCCGAAUGAAAUAUGUUUU
rnacentral:lncRNA from 1 species